AUUGAACGCUGGCGGCAGGCUUAACACAUGCAAGUCGAGCGAGCGGCGGACGGGUGAGUAAUGUCUGGGAAACUGCCUGAUGGAGGGGGAUAACUACUGGAAACGGUAGCUAAUACCGCAUACCAUCAGAUGUGCCCAGAUGGGAUUAGCUAGUAGGUGGGGGAAUGGCUCACCUGGGCGACGAUCCCUAGCUGGUCUGAGAGGAUGACCGGCCAAACUGGAACUGAGACACGGUCCGGACUCCUACGGGAGGCAGCAGGGGGGAAUAUUGCACAAUGGGCGCAAGCCUGAGGCAGCCAUGCCGCGUGGGGGAAGAAGGCCUUCGGGUUGUAAAGCACUUUCAGCGAGGAGGCGGUACUCGCAGAAGAAGCACCGGCUAACUCCGUGCCAGCAGCCGCGGUAAUAC
rnacentral:rRNA from 1 species